rnacentral:rRNA from 1 species
AGAGUUUGAUCCUGGCUCAGGAUGAACGCUGGCGGCGUGCCUAAUACAUGCAAGUCGAACGAGAAAGAGGAAGUCUUCGGAUGGACUCUGGAGAGUGGCGCACGGGUGAGUAACACGUAGAUGACCUGCCCCGGUGAGGGGGAUAACCGUUGGAAACGACAGCUAAUACCCCAUAAGCUCACGGUUUUCAGAAAGCUGUGAGAAAAGGUUCCGGCGCUUCGGGAGGGGUCUGCGGCCCAUCAGCUGGUUGGUAGGGUAACGGCCUACCAAGGCGAAGACGGGUAGGGGGCCUGAGAGGGUGGUCCUCCACACGGGAACUGAGACACGGUCCCGACUCCUACGGGAGGCAGCAGUAAGGAAUAUUGCCCAAUGGACGCAAGUCUGAGGCAGCAACGCCGCGUGCCCGAAGAAGGUCUUCGGAUCGUAAAGGGCUUUUCUGUGGGAAGAGAAAGGACAGUACCGCAGGAAUAAGUGUCGGCUAACUACGUGCCAGCAGCCGCGGUAAAACGUAGGACGCAAGCGUUAUCCGGAUUUACUGGGCGUAAAGCGCGGGCAGGUGGCAGGCCAAGUUGGAUGUGAAAGCUCCCGGCUCAACUGGGAGAGGCCAUUCAAGACUGGUCGGCUGGAGGGCAGCAGGGGGGGGCGUGGAAUUCCGGGUGGAGUGGUGAAAUGCGUAGAGAUCCGGAGGAACACCAGAAGCGAAGGCGGCGCCCUGGGCUGCACCUGACACUGAACCGCGAAAGCGUGGGUAGCGAACGGGAUUAGAAACCCCGGUAGUCCACGCGGUAAACGAUGUCAACUGGGUGUUGGGGGGGGGUAAAAGCUCUCAGUGCCGAAGCAAACGCGAUAAGUUGACCGCCUGGGGAGUACGGCC